CGAUAACGUGAUCUCUCCUUUUUGUAGAGAGAGUUUUUGCUCUCUAGCUUCGCUUUCGUCACCUAUGGCUCGGCAAUUGUCAGUCUUUCCCUGCCCAUUUGGCAGGAGAAGGCUUCCCUCUCCCUAACUUCGCGUGGGUUCCCUCCCUUCCACAGUGUUGGGUUGUGUUUUGUAGUUGGAUCGAUAUUGUUUGAGGGUUUUGUUGAGCUGCCCUUUUUUAUAUUUCUUGUUCCGCUUGGUUAUGUGAUG
rnacentral:misc_RNA from 1 species